rnacentral:rRNA from 1 species
CAGGCGUAGGAAAUUUGAGAAGACCUGUCCUUAGUACGAGAGGACCGGGAUGGACGUACCUCUGGUGUACCAGUUGUCCUGCCAAGGGCAUGGCUGGGUAGCUAUGUACGGAAUGGAUAAGCGCUGAAAGCAUCUAAGCGCGAAGCCAACUUCAAGAUAAGAUUUCCCACCGCAAGGGUAAGACCCCAGAAAGACUAUCUGGUUGAUAGGUCGAAGGUGUAAGUGCAGCAAUGUAUUUAGCUUAUCGAUACUAAUAGGUCGAGGACUUGACCAAU